rnacentral:rRNA from 1 species
GACGAACGCUGGCGGCGUGCUUAACACAUGCAAGUCGAACGGUGACGAGGAGCUUGCUCCUCUGAUCAGUGGCGAACGGGUGAGUAACACGUGAGCAACCUGCCCCAGACUCUGGGAUAACAGUUGGAAACAGCUGCUAAUACCGGAUACGAGACGGAGAGGCAUCUCUACCGUCUGGAAAGUUUUUCGGUCUGGGAUGGACUCGCGGCCUAUCAGCUAGUUGGUGAGGUAAUGGCUCACCAAGGCGACGACGGGUAGCCGGCCUGAGAGGGCGACCGGCCACACUGGGACUGAGACACGGCCCAGACUCCUACGGGAGGCAGCAGUGGGGAAUAUUGCACAAUGGGCGAAAGCCUGAUGCAGCGACGCCGCGUGCAGGACGAAGGCCUCGGGUUGUAAACUGCUUUUGUACAGAACGAAAGGGACGUCUGGUUAAUACCUGGGGCAGAUGACGGUACUGUAAGAAUAAGCACCGGCUAACUACGUGCCAGCAG